rnacentral:rRNA from 1 species
UACGGAGGGUGCGAGCGUUGUUCGGAAUCACUGGGCGUAAAGGGCGUGUAGGCGGUCCGCUAAGUCUGAUGUGAAAGCCCGGGGCUCACCCCCGGAAGGGCAUUGGAAACUGACGGACUCGAGUCCCGAAGAGGAGGGUGGAAUUCCUGGUGUAGCGGUGAAAUGCGCAGAUAUCGGGAGGAACACCUAUGGCGAAGGCAGCUCGCUGGGACGUUACUGACGCUGAGACGCGAAAGCGUGGGGAGCAAACAGG